UCUGCUUACAACACAUCCAGAAUUCAAUACUCUGAUCAGUUCGUUGUUUCCACUUUAAAAAAAAAAGACUGUGCUAAAGUGUAUGUAUGUGUGGACGUGGCUUAGUAAGAGGCUUAAAUGUAGGACCAUUCGUUUACCCCCCCCCCUCUCUCUCCCCGGCCUCUUUCUCUAAUUGCAACUAGUCAAUUUUAACUAACAAGCAAGAAGACUCAACUAUUUCUUCUUCUUCUUGUUUUCCAACAGUCUAUAUCAUUUUUUUUUUGUUUAUAACCAUUGUAUAACUUUGUUAUAAAUUGUGCCCUGACAAAGCUUAAAAAAAAAAAUGAACAUUGGUAUGUGUGGCAAAAAAAAAAGGAUGGGGGGGUGGGGUGUUUUAACAAAAGAAGAGUUUGACAUUAAAUAAUCUGAAGAAUGAGUCUGUGAGAAUUAGAACUGUUGGUGCCUGUAUCUAGAAAGUUUACGUUCAACGUUUAAGGUCUGUCUUAAAUCUAUUGUAAAGUUUAAAAUUUGGUCACAGGUGAUGGCGAGUGCUGCUUCAAACAAGGUAUGGGAGAUUAUGUUUACUUUUGUAUCAACUUUCAAGUGGUCAAGAAGACAUAUCACAAAACAAUGAAGACACAUUCCAUGUCAACUAUAUAUCAUCCCUCUACAACCCCUAGACAUGAUGUAUUUAAAACAGGACAUUCGGGACACAUUAUGAUACAUAACAAUACCAGCAACAAGAACACAGCAUCUAUAAUUAGAUAUUUUCAUGCUUCCAUAUGUACACAACACCACUUUACAAUAUAAGAUCCUACAUAAGCUGCUUAUAAGCAUGGGAUCAGCAAGUUUUCCCUUACCUGAAUAAGUAAUGCUUAAUGAUAGUAUUAACAAAGUAUUUAGUAUCAGGCUCUGGUUUCAUGUCUGGAACCAAUUACUACUUAGGUUACACCUGAAAUCAGACUACAAUCAACUUUGGGACAGCCAGGUCAAGCCAAAUAUAGAGCUGAUGAAAGUUGAGCGGAAAAUUUUCCCCUUUCAAUAAAUCAAUAGCUCACAGCCAAACCCAUGUAGAUUGAAUCAGCAGGAUGCUUUGAAACGUAAGGAAGAAUAAAAUGGCUGAUGGAUAGGUACCAAGUUUAAAUCAAAUAAUUUUUUUAAAAGUAUUUAGCAAUAAUUUUUUUUUUUUAAAUUAUAAUAUUGAUAAAAGUCAGAACACAUACAAAUAAAAGAGAAGAGUUAUUCCAGAUGCUAGAACAAAUGUAUAGUUUAGACCUAUGAGAGACUCUGACCUACAUAUGUUUACUAAAUUCAAUGAAAAAAUACACUUUAAGUCUCAAAACAAGAAAAAUAUAAAAAAUUAAAAACAAAGCUUAUAUUAGUUGUAAUGGUAUCAAUUACUUUGUAGAAAGAAGGGGAUACAUCUUAUAGAAAGGUACUGUGAUAGCUUUUUAAAUGUAUUUAUAUUUUUUUUUAAGUUGUACGACUAUAAUCAACUCAGGGGCCUCCUCAAACCAAUACACCUUACAAAUACCAAGUGCUUAUGGAAAUAAAAGGUUUCAUUGC